CCUACGGGUGGCAGCAGUGGGGAAUAUUGCACAAUGGGCGCAAGCCUGAUGCAGCCAUGCCGCGUGUGUGAAGAAGGCCUUCGGGUUGUAAAGCACUUUCAGCGGGGAGGAAGGCGGUGAGGUUAAUAACCUCAUCGAUCGACGUUACCCGCAGAAGAAGCACCGGCUAACUCCGUGCCAGCAGCCGCGGUAAUACGGAGGGUGCAAGCGUUAAUCGGAAUUACUGGGCGUAAAGCGCACGCAGGCGGUCUGUCAAGUCGGAUGUGAAAUCCCCGGGCUCAACCUGGGAACUGCAUUCGAAACUGGCAGGCUAGAGUCUUGUAGAGGGGGGUAGAAUUCCGGGUGUAGCGGUGAAAUGCGUAGAGAUCUGGAGGAAUACCGGUGGCGAAGGCGGCCCCCUGGACAAAGACUGACGCUCAGGUGCGAAAGCGUGGGGAGCAAACAGGAUUAGAUACCCGUGUAGUC
rnacentral:rRNA from 1 species